UAUAGCUUGCUAUAAUUGUCAGCUAAGUGGCGCACGGGUGAGUAAUGUAUAGAUAACCUGCCCUUAAGAAAGGAAUAACAGUUGGAAACGACUGCUAAUGCCCUAUAUGCCUUUAAUACAUAAGUAUGCAAGGGAAACGCUUUAGUGCUUAAGGAUGGGUCUGUAUGGUAUCAGCUUGUUGGUGAGGUAAUGGCUCACCAAGGCUAUGACGCCUAACUGGUUUGAGAGGAUGAUCAGUCACACUGGAACUGAGACACGGUCCAGACUCCUACGGGAGGCAGCAGUGGGGAAUAUUGCACAAUGGACGAAAGUCUGAUGCAGCAACGCCGCGUGGAGGAUGACACAUUUCGGUGCGUAAACUCCUUUUAUAUAGGAAGAUAAUGACGGUACUAUAUGAAUAAGCACCGGCUAACUCCGUGCCAGCAG
rnacentral:rRNA from 1 species